GGCGUUUCGGGUCACGUACAUCCGAGGGUCG
rnacentral:rRNA from 6 species